AUGGCCUUUAGGUCCUCCAGGACACUGGAAGUGACUGUCGGUCCUCCCACGGCAUCGUCUAGCGGGCCUCCAAGGGACCGGAAGUGCCCGUCACUCCCUCGGAAGUGCAUCUCUAUGGUCCCACGGUCCUCCGAGAAACAGGAAAAGCUCCUUAGUCCUCAGAGAUUCCGUCUCUGCGGCGUUUGGGUCCUCCAGGUCCUCCGCCUUUUAGUAUGAUCCUGUUUCAUAUCUGGUACUGAUAUGGAGCCCAUAUCAGUAGAGGAGCCCAGCGACUGCAGGAGCGAUCCAGUUGGC
rnacentral:lncRNA from 1 species